UAUUUCAACAGAUAAAGACUAUGCAGCGAGAAUGUUAAACGGAUGGGUGCCUCACGCACUUUUUAUUUCUGGAUCUCUAUUUAUGAUUGGUGGAGUAUUGUGUUUUUAUGCAACAGUUCUGAACAGUCCGUGUAAUAUGAACCUCGCACUUGGUUGCCUUCUAUUUGCCAUGGUUAUAGGCUUGUGUGUAUGCCUGGCAACCACUAUCGAAUGCAUAUUUGAAUCCAAAAUGUGCUUACUGAGUGACAUGGAUUGGGCUUCUCGAAGCAUAUUUCUUGCUACGUCAAUCUUAUAUUUACUUUCCUGGUUAUACUACUUAAGCGUAUGCAACACCUAUAUCUUUCUUUCUGAAUAAUAAAUACUUAUAUUUUUAAUUUCCCUAAA